UUAUAAACAUAAUGUAAAUGGUUUAAUACUUUUUUUGACUUACCUCCUUGCGCCGGUUUAGGAGGGGAAUUCCCGCUACAUUCUACUGCAGGUGUCCGCGCUCUGCGCUAUCUCUCGCGUGCACAGAGCACCAAAGCUCCAGGACAGCCCGCUUUCAGCGCGCGACGUGACCGGAAUUAUUUCGCGCCUUUAGCGCGGGAUUGGUACGAAAUCCUCCACGGGACAAGAAAGAGAGGAAAACCCUUACAGAAUCACCCACCACAACAGGACCAAGCGGCGUGGUAACGGGCAACAGCAACAGCGGCGCAAAGAGGAAUGGACAUGGGACGAGGUAUUGGACGGUAAGGGUUGCUACACCUGGGAGGAGAUCCUGGCGGGAAAGGAUCGCCUUCCAUGGGAACAGGUGGAGGCAGCUAGGAGAGCAGAGGCAGACGGAGAGAGGAGUCGGCGAUAUGAGGGAACACGGCUGGCAAGGAAGCCCGAGAGGCAGCCCCAAAAAUUUCUUGGAAGGGGGCACACAGGAAGUGUGGCGAAGCCAGGUAGGAGACCUGCGCCAACUUCCUGUGCUUACCGGGGGGCUGGAGAGACCGGACAGGCACCGUGUUAUGCUGUGAAGCGCACGGUGUCCCCAGUGCGGGUGCAUAGCCCGGUGCGGUACAUUCCAGCUCCGCGUAUCGGCCGGGCUAGAGUGAGCAUUGAGCCAAGUGCCAUGAAGCCGGCUCUACGCAUCUGGUCUCCAGUGCGUCUCCUUGGGCCGGCUUACAUGGCACCAGCCUUGCGCACGGUGUCCCCGGUUCGCCUGCAUAGCCCAGUGCGGGCUAUUCCACCUGGCCGCACUGGCAGGGCGACCGGGACCAUUCUACCGGGUAAGGUUGGGCAGGCUCAGUGCUCAAGAGCUCCAGUGCGCCUGCACGGUCCGGUCUAUCCGUCACCAGCUCCACACACCAGCCCUCCGGUGGCAGCCCCCCGCACCAGGCUGUCUCUCCGGCUCAUCCUUACAGGGGCUCCCGCCUGUCCAGCGCUGCCGGAGCCUUCCUCCUCUCCAGCGCUACCAGAGCUCCCGCCCGUCAUUCCAGAGGCGCUAGAGCCCCUCAUUCCAGAGGCGCCAGAGCUACUCAGUCCAGCGCUGCCAGAGCCUUCCUCUCCAGCGUUGCCGGAGCUUCCCGUCUGCCCAGCGCCAUCUGAGCUACCCGUCUGCCCAGUGCCGCCUGAGCCACCCGUCUGCCCAGCGCCACCUGAGCCACCCGUCUGCCCAGCGCCGCCAGUGCCGCCAGUCUGCCCAGCACCGCCAGUGCCGCCAGUCUGCCAAGGGCCGCCAGUGCCGCCAGUCAGCCAAGGGCCGCCAGUGCCGCCAGUCAGCCAGGGGCCGCCAGGGCCGCCAGUCAGCCAGGGGCCGCCAGUGCCGCCAGUCAGCCAGGGGCCGCCAGUGCCGCCAGUCAUCCAGGGGCCGCCAGUGCCGCCAGUCAGCCAGGGGCGGCCAGUGCCGCCAGUCAGCCAGGGGCCGCCAGUGCCGCCAGUCAGCCAGGGGCUGCCAGUGCCGCCAGUCAGCCAGGGGCCGCCAGUGCCGCCAGUCAGCCAGGGGCCGCCAGUGCCGCCAGUCAGCCCAGAGGCGCCAGUGCCGCCUGUCAGCCCAGAGGCGCCAGAGCCCCUCAGCCCAGAGGCGCCAAAGCCCCUCAGCCCAGGGGUGCCAGAGCUUCCACCCCUCUGUCCCGAGCAGCUGCCCCUCUGUCUCGAGCUGCCCCUCUGUCCCGAGCUGCCCCUCUGUCCAGUGGGGUCAUUAAGUAGGGUCGCCGUGGCUAGGAUGCCACGGAAGCGGACAAGGUGGGGGACUAAGACUAUGGUGAAGUGGGGGCCACGUCCAGCACCAGAGCCGCCACCGCGGACAGAUGCCCACCCAGACCCUCCCCUAUAGGUUCAGGUUUUGCGGCCGGAGUCCGCACCUUGAGGGGGGGGGGGGAUACUGUCACACCCUGACCAUAGUUUGCUUUGUAUGUUUCUAUGUUUUGGUUGGUCAGGGUGUGAUAUGAGUGGGCAUUCUAUGUUGGAUGUCUUGUUUGUCUAUUUCUAUGUCUGGCCUGAUAUGGUUCUCAAUCAGAGGCAGGUGUUAGUCAUUGUCUCUGAUUGGGAACCAUAUUUAGGUAGCCUGGGUUUCACUGUGUGUUUGUGGGUGAUUGUUCCUGUCUCUGUGUUUUGCACCAGAUAGGGCUGUUUUUGGUUUUCCA
ensembl:lncRNA